rnacentral:rRNA from 1 species
GGUCCCUACGGGGGCAGCAGUAGGGAAUCUUCCACAAUGGACGAAAGUCUGAUGGAGCAACGCCGCGUGAGUGAAGAAGGGUUUCGGCUCGUAAAGCUCUGUUGGUAGUGAAGAAAGAUAGAGGUAGUAACUGGCCUUUAUUUGACGGUAAUUACUUAGAAAGUCACGGCUAACUACGUGCCAGCAGCCGCGGGAAUACGUAGGUGGCAAGCGUUGUCCGGAUUUAUUGGGCGUAAAACGAGUGCAGGCGGUUCAAUAAGACUUCUGUGAAA